AAAAAUUUAAGACUCCUGUAGUGAUGGGUGACGAGCCAGAUAAAGAGAUAUUGAAGAUGGUUGCAAGAACAACAUUGAGAACAAAGUUGUAUGAAUCUCUGGCUGAUCAACUGACAGACAUUGUUGCGAACUCUGUGCUCUGCAUCCGCAAGCCUGAAGAAGCUAUUGAUCUUUUUAUGGUUGAAAUAAUGCACAUGCGCCAUAAGUUUGAUGUUGACACUCGUUUGGUUGAGGGUCUUGUGCUCGACCAUGGUUCAAGACAUCCAGACAUGAAAAGACGAGCUGAGAAUUGUUACAUUAUGACUUGUAAUGUAUCAUUGGAAUAUGAGAAGAGUGAAGUAAAUGCAGGGUUUUUCUACUCGAAUGCGGAGCAGAGGGAGGCAAUGGUUGCUGCCGAAAGGCGCUCAGUUGAUGAGAGAGUGCAAAAGAUCAUUGAUCUUAAAAACAAGGUUUGUUCAGGGAAUGACAACAACUUUGUUGUUAUCAAUCAGAAAGGGAUUGAUCCAACAUCCCUUGACCUUCUCGCUCGGGAAGGAAUAAUUGCUCUUCGAAGAGCGAAGAGAAGAAACAUGGAACGCUUGGUUUUGGCAUGUGGUGGUGACGCAGUUAACUCUGUUGAUGACCUUACUCCUGAGUGCCUUGGCUGGGCCGGUCUGGUGUAUGAGCAUGUUCUUGGCGAAGAGAAGUAUACAUUUGUAGAAAAUGUCAAAAAUCCUCAUUCCUGCACUAUUCUUAUAAAAGGGCCAAAUGACCAUACAAUAGCACAAAUUAAAGAUGCUGUUCGUGAUGGACUGAGAGCAGUCAAAAAUACCAUUGAAGAUGA
rnacentral:misc_RNA from 1 species